UUUCCGUAGUGAACCUGCGGAGGAUCAUCU
rnacentral:rRNA from 1 species